AUUGAACGCUGGCGGCAGGCCUAACACAUGCAAGUCGAGCGAGCGGCGGACGGGUGCGUAAUGUCUGGGAAACUGCCUGAUGGAGGGGGAUAACUACUGGAAACGGUAUCUAAUACCGCAUACCCUCAGGUGUGCCCAGGUGGGAUUAGCUUGUGGGUGGGGUAAUGGGUCACCUAGGCGACGAUCCCUAGCUGGUCUGAGAGGAUGACCAGCCACACUGUAACUGAGACACGGUCCAGACUCCUACGGGAGGCAGCAGUGGGGAAUAUUGAACAAUGGGCGCAAGCCUGAUGCAGCCAUGCCGCGUGUGUGAAGAAGGCCUUCGGGUUGUAAAGCACUUUCAGCGGGGAGGCGUUACCCGCAGAAGAAGCACCGGCUAACUCCGUGCCAGCAGCCGCGGUAAUAC
rnacentral:rRNA from 1 species